rnacentral:lncRNA from 1 species
GGUCAAAUUUCCAAUCGGUUUCUUCAUGAAAGUUGUUCGUUAUAACUUUUAGUUUAACAUAAUUGAAUUUCAAAUCAAACGGACUAGAUUUAGACCCAAAAACGAACUGAUUACGAUGAGUUAGGCUCUCUGGAACUGGACCCGAUUUUUGUGCUAGAUAGAAAGAAUUUCUGGGCCGAAUCCAGAGGGAUCUGGAUCUUGGUGCCUUCAUGAAAAAUAUUUGUUUUUGUGUUUUUCUAGCACGUGUCCAAAUUUGAGAAUUUUUCGGGCUUAUACGAGUGGGUUUCUGACUUCGAAUUCGGAAGAGCGUAAUUGGAUUGUUUUCUGUUAAUUC